GCUAUUUCAGCUCCACUAACAGCCGAGACGCGGUUUGUGACACAUGUGGCAAGACCGCAAACCUUGUCAAACAGAAACAAAAGUAAAUUAUAACACAGAGUAUGAUGAUGAGUUUAUGAUGAGGCAAACUGAAGAGGAGGAGAGGGACAGGUGCUGCUGGGGCGAGACAAACAUAGCUCGCGGAGUCCUUUGGUGCUGCAGGCAGGCACUAUACAGGAAUCGUCCACUGAUGCUCUCUAAUGGGUGCUGUUGGGAUGGGAGAAAAGUGUGUUAUCUUCUCUGCGUCCUCUCCUGACACGUCGAGCUGAUAUUCCCCACCGGGGUCGUUUAAGUCUGAACUCGUCUGACCGAACAGAAUCUGCAGCCCAGCUAAGGAAACAAGUCAGUCGCCUGCCUUAACUGCUGUCAUCUUUCCUCAUCUCGUGACACCUCAGUGACACCCAGAGUGGCGCUCGGAGUCGCCUCCACCAACAUCCACCUUUCAAUCACACUUUCAAUUGCAAUUGCCUAAUUCUGUGCUGGGAUUUCAGUCCACGGCGAGGAUAUGAGAUUUGUCAAGCACGAGCCCGGGGAAGAACCUGCAUCGCAUAACGCGUAGACGUGCACCAUUUCCUCAGCAUGUGAACUGCAAUUCAUUUUAUAAAUGUCAGAUGAAGCCUGGCAAGCCAUCCACCCACCCACACACACACACACACACACACACACAAAUAGCGUGGUGGGUAAUAUUCUUAUUAGAGAUCAUUUUGAUUGGCUUCCGCUGCCCUUUUCAUUGUGUGAGCGACAGUGAAGGGAGAGAUGAUGAAGUGUGUGCCUAAAUGUCUGUGUGUGCACACUAUGCAUAUAUGUAUAUAUAUAUAUGUGUGUGUUUGUGUGUGUAUGUGUGUGUGUGUGCGUGCAUGUGUCAGAUGUUGAGGGUUUGAGGGUUUAUGUAAGCAGAGAUUAAAAAUGCAAUAAACCUGCC
ensembl:lncRNA